rnacentral:lncRNA from 1 species
ACCAUCUAUAUGUAUAUAAAUCAUAUUAUAUAUUAUAAAUUAAUAUAUAUGUAUAUAUUUCUAUUACUUAUUUUUACUUAUUUUUAUGCCUACAUAUAUAUAUAUUUCCCUAUCCCUUUAUAUAUUCAUUCUUAACAUAUUUUAUUUAUUUUUAUUUUUCUUAUUUAUUUAAAAACCUUGCCUCUAACUAAAUAAAAACCAAGCAGCCCCUUUAUCUUCAAUAUUUUUUAAUAUUUAUUUUUAUCAUCUUUAUACUUAGAGUUAUACACUCGGUUGAUAAACCCCCCCAGCCCUGCCCACACCUCUCACUGUUCCGGUACACAGAGCAUCCACCUCCUCGGGCCGCUUUGGUUCCAGCGCCGGGGAGCGACCGUUCCGGCCCGAUGCAAUUGGGUUUUCCUCCAUUUCCCUGGGCCGGGGGGGAGAGAGCCGAGCAAGAGGAGCGGCGGCACGCUACAGGUCGGUGCAAGUGCCAUACCCCAAGAAUGCGGCCGUGGCAAGGACCCCUGCAGAGGGAGGCGUCAGCACCGCUGCCUGUCGGCACGCUGGCUGGCCGGUGUCCGGCCCCGGCCCUGCUGAGCGCACAGCCUGUGUCCGCAUAGCUGGAAAAGCCGCGGAAAAUUGCGCCGGAGCGGCGUCAGUGUCGGGGUAUUUGUCAGGCAGUCAAGCGAAGACACCCACCGCCCGGGGUCCUUGCAUUUUCCUGCCUUUUUGGCCGCCAUCCUUGGAAGGUCAAACCAGCCAGGACCUGACAGCCAUCUUGUGCGUGGCAUCACGUGACUUCUGCCCUUCCUGGCUGCCAUCUUUUUUGUGGCUGAAGCCACUUCCGGCCAAGUGGCCAUCUUUGUUGUGGCACCAUGAAGGCCCCUGCCGCUCUCAGCGCGUCUGUCUAACUUACUUGCCUGAACAAAAAAACGCACGAUGCCGACUGAUUCCGCGCACUCCACCCAAUUUUCCACCGCCUUUCCCAGGGCGAGGACAAAGACGGCGGGGCUCAGCGGCUCCAUAGCUGGGCGGCGGACACGCCUGCGACGGCAGGAAUUGGAAUCGACGC